GACGAACGCUGGCGGCGUGCUUAACACAUGCAAGUCGAACGGAAAGGCCCUGCUUUUGUGGGGUGCUCGAGUGGCGAACGGGUGAGUAACACGUGAGUAACCUGCCCUUGACUUUGGGAUAACUUCAGGAAACUGGGGCUAAUACCGGAUAGGAGCUCCUGCUGCAUGGUGGGGGUUGGAAAGUUUCGGCGGUUGGGGAUGGACUCGCGGCUUAUCAGCUUGUUGGUGGGGUAGUGGCUUACCAAGGCUUUGACGGGUAGCCGGCCCGAGAGGGUGACCGGCCACAUUGGGACUGAGAUACGGCCCAGACUCCUACGGGAGGCAGCAGUGGGGAAUAUUGCACAAUGGGCGGAGGCCUGAUGCAGCAACGCCGCGUGCGGGAUGACGGCCUUCGGGUUGUAACCGCUUUCGCCUGUGACGAAGCGUGAGUGACGGUAAUGGGUAAAGAAGCACCGGCUAACUACGUG
rnacentral:rRNA from 1 species